rnacentral:rRNA from 1 species
GACGAACGCUGGCGGCGUGCCUAAUACAUGCAAGUUGAGCGAUGAAGAUUGGUGCUUGCACCAAUAUGAAGAGCAGCGAACGGGUGAGUAACGCGUGGGGAAUCUGCCUUUGAGCGGGGGACAACAUUUGGAAACGAAUGCUAAUACCGCAUAACAACUUUAAACAUAAGUUUUAAGUUUGAAAGAUGCAAUUGCAUCACUCAAAGAUGAUCCCGCGUUGUAUUAGCUAGUUGGUGAGGUAAAGGCUCACCAAGGCGAUGAUACAUAGCCGACCUGAGAGGGUGAUCGGCCACAUUGGGCCUGAGACACGGCCCAAACUCCCACGGGAGGCAGCAGUAGGGAAUCUUCGGCGAUGGACGAAAGUCUGACCGAGCAACGCCGCGUGAGUGAAGAAGGUUUUCGGAUCGUAAAACUCUGUUGGUAGAGAAGAACGUUGGUGAGAGUGGAAAGCUCAUCAAGUGACGGUAACUACCCAGAAAGGGACGGCUAACUACGUG